AGUCUGCUCUUCACACGGAUACCACGAAUGCCACGGUGGCCUCCUGAAGACGGAGUCUGGUCUCACAUUCCUCCAGCUUCCUAUGCAUAAACCCCAGCGAAGGGUGAGCGCACGGCAUGGCACCUGCAGCAUGGGGUUCACGUUCUGGAAGGUUCUGGCUGACUCCCACCCCGCCCUUCACUGGCCAAGUAAACUUGCAGAAGUUACUUAACCCUUGACCUAGAAGAGCCUCCUGUCACCUGAAAAGGGAAAGUCGGGAUUGUAAGGAAAGGAAUCUCAUAGGGCUUCUCUGAGGAGACAAAUCAUUGGAUUGGGCUUAGACGUUCCAUCCGUGGCAAGAUUUCCGGCUUUGCCCUUUGGAGCCUGAGGAGCAAGGGUAGAAUGAGGAUCGUGAGGUUCUUCAGAGGCAGUUACUCACGAGGUCACAGCGCAGAAACGGCAAGAAAUGUCAGGACAACUAUGGAUGUGAAGGAUGGGAGAGGGGCCUCCUUCCGCAUGAGGUCCCCAGAGGUAUUUGUCUCCAUCUAGAAACUGAGGGGCAUUUGUCUCCAUCCAGGACUUGGGGGGCCUCCUUCUCCAUCCAGGACUGGGGUGUGUCCUUCUGCAUCCAGGACAGGGGGACAUCCUUCUCCAUCCAUGAUUCAGAGUUCAUCCUUCUCUAUCCAGGAGAGGGGUUCAUCCUUCUCCAUCUAGGACUUGAGGGACAUCCUUCUCCAUCCAGGACUGAGAGGCAUCCUUCUCCUUGCAGUACCUGAGGGACAUCCUUCUCCAUUCAGGACCUGAGGAUGUCCUUCUCUGUACUCCCUUGGGACUGCACCCUUUCCUGUGCCAUCCUUCAGAAUGCUAGGCUGUCGCUGGUUGUGGAUUGAACUCUAGCAUCUUAUCUCUAUUCUAGGUGAAUCCCUUCACAUUUAUAGUGAUUUACCAUUUAAUCACUGUGCCAUUUUCCCCAAAAUAUGUGGGGUUUGGGGUUUGGUUUUUGUUCUUACUUCUAUUAAUUCUUCGGUUCCCACCUCCAGUUGUUUUGUAAUUUCUUUUACAACCUAAUAUGGUCCCAUUUGGUAAGUAUUACCAUGUACUAGAAAAUAAUGUAUAUUCAGUAUUUGUUGUGAUUUUUAAACCUUUAAUAAACUCAUAAGAUUUUUGUCUAUUUUCCAUUUAAAUUGAGAAGUACGAUCCCAAUGUUCCUCUCUCGAUCUGCUCCCGUUAGUCUCCAUGUGUGUCCUGGAGGUGAGGUCAGCAUUGGACUUAACCCUGUGUCACCUCCUUGGUUCUACUGCUCACCUGUGGCAUCCAUCCUGCUGUUUAUUAUUUUUUCCUUAAAUUGUAUUUGAACUAUUAAUUUUGCUACAGCAACUUGCUUUCUGUGAAUAUUUACUCAGUAGUUUCAUUUCCAUUCUUUUUUGCCCUUAAUUUGAAAGUGCUGCUUUGCUAUUGAUAAUUUUGUAUUUUAAUAUGUGAGGUUAAUUCCUCUGUGUUUGGUAGGAAAAAGUGAUACAUUUGAACUUAUUUCUAUUAUGUGAUUUUGGAUUUUGGAUUUGCAAAACUUUAUCCUUGAUUCUCUUUUCCUUUCUCCAGACUUAUUUUCAACUGACAUUUCCUUUUCCAUUUCCUUCUUAUGCUGAUUUGUAGGUUUUCCAGCCUAUUUACCGUUCUUUAGUGUCCUACAUUUUAAAAUAAUUCUUAAAUUAUCGACUAAUAAUUUUAAGCAUAUUGGAUUUGCGGUUUUCUCCCAGUGCUCUAGUUAUAAUCUCUUCUAUCUUGUCAUUUUAUUCUUGUUAUUUUUCUAUUAAUUCUUGAGAUAUAGGUAUUAGAAUUGUCAAAUUGUGAAUUUAAGCAUUUACCCUUUAAAUUUGGUUAUUUUUGCUUCAUAUAUUUUGUUAUUUUGUAUCAGGUGCAUGCAUGCUUAUGAUCAUUAGGUUUUCUAAGCAAGUGGACUCAUUAAUAUAAAAUGUCCUUCUCUGUCCCUGGCGAUGCUGGUCCUUCCUGUCGUCUGUCUCAUCUGCCAUCCAUACACCUGUGCAGCCUCCUGAUAACAAGUAUUUCUGUGGUAUACAUUUGUCCAUCUUUUCAGCUUGAAUCUAUUUGUAUCUUUAUCUUGAAAGAAUGUUUCUUUGUAAAAGCAUAUCGAGGCUUGCUUUUUACCUGCAUUGACAGUCUCUUUUUCACUGGCAGUGUUCAGUCAGUGCAGAUCUGCUAUUCCUGUGGUUGGGUUUAAGUCAGCACCUGAACCUGUUAUUUCCUCUGUUCCGCUUUCCUGGUCUUCUGGAUUAUUGUAGUUUUGCUUUGUCUGUUUGUUUGUUUAAUAAGAGUUUUUGGGUUGUCUUUUUAGUAUGGAUUUUGUACCUUGUUUUUUUUUAACUAUGACUUCUUGUUUUAUUUAUUUUCAGUGAGUCAUUUAGAAAUUAAAAUAUAAAUACUUAAAGUCUCAUAUUAAAUAAAGAUCAUAACAUUUUAUACAAAUAUAAAAUCCUUACUGCACCCUCCUCUCAGCUUCUGUACCAUGUUGUCAGUGAGGUUUCUUCUGCAUAUGUUGUAAUUUCCAGAGGAUGUCAUUAAAACAGUAAUUUUCCCUCCACCA
rnacentral:lncRNA from 10 species